rnacentral:rRNA from 1 species
GACGAACGCUGGCGGCGUGCUUAACACAUGCAAGUCGAACGGAAAGGCCCUGCUUUUGUGGGGUGCUCGAGUGGCGAACGGGUGAGUAACACGUGAGUAACCUGCCCUUGACUUUGGGAUAACUUCAGGAAACUGGGGCUAAUACCGGAUAGGAGCUCCUGCUGCAUGGUGGGGGUUGGAAAGUUUCGGCGGUUGGGGAUGGACCCGCGGCUUAUCAGCUUGUUGGUGGGGUAGUGGCUUACCAAGGCUGUGACGGGUAGCCGGCCUGGGAGGGUGACCGGCCACAUGGGGACUGAGAUACGGCCCAGAAUCCUACGGGAGGCAGCAGUGGGGAAUAUUGCACAAUGGGCGGAAGCCUGAUGCAGCAACGCCGCGUGCGGGAUGACGGCCUUCGGGUUGUAAACCGCUUUCGCCUGUGACGAAGCGUGAGUGACGGUAAUGGGUAAAGAAGCACCGGCUAACUACGUG